GACCCUCUGAGAUAGACAGAUGGACAGAUAGAGAGUGAGGACCCUCUGAGAUAGACAGAUGGACAGAUAGAGAGUGAGGACCCUCUGAGAUAGACAGAUGGACAGAUAGAGAGUGAGGACCCUCUGAGAUAGACAGAUGGACAGAUAGAGAGUGAGGACCCUCUGAGAUAGACAGAUGGACAGAUAGAGAGUGAGGACCCUCUGAGAUAGACAGAUGGACAGAUAGAGAGUGAGGACCCUCUGAGAUAGACAGAUGGACAGAUAGAGAGGGAGGACCCUCUGAGAUAGACAGAUGGACAGAUAGAGAGUGAGGACCCUCUGAGAUAGACAGAUGGACAGAUAGAGAGUGAGGACCCUCUGAGAUAGACAGAUGGACAGAUAGAGAGUGAGAACCCUCUGAGAUAGACAGAUGGACAGGUAGAGAUAGAGAACCCUCUGAGAUAGUCAGAUGGACAGAUAGAGAUAGAGAACCCUCUGAGAUAGACAGAUGGACAGAUAGAGAUAGAGAACCCUCUGAGAUAGACAGAUGGACAGAUAGAGAGGGAGGACCCUCUGAGAUAGACAGAUGGACAGAUAGAGAGGGAGGACCCUCUGAGAUAGACAGAUGGACAGAUAGAGAGUGAGAACCCUCUGAGAUAGACAGAUGGACAGAUAGAGAGUGAGGACCCUCUGAGAUAGACAGAUGGACAGGUAGAGAGUGAGGAGUGGAUGUUCAACUCACUCAUUUGGAUCAAAACACUGGGAAGUAAAAAAAAAAAAAAUUAACAAAAAAAAAAUACAAAUACACAAAGAUAAAGGCAACACUCAUUAUAUGUUUACGUUAGGAUCCAAUGUCCGAUAUACCUAUAAAGAGAUAAGACACGUUAAUAAAAAGAAAUGUAAAGAGAAAUUUAAAAAACACAUGCAAGUUACAGAGAAGUCUGGUAACGGUAGGAGGAAAAGGUUAAGAGUUCAGAGAGACGUACCAAGGACAAGGAUGGGUAGACAUCCAUUGAGACUGUGAAUGGAUGACGAACAUAAACAUACAGGACGAUAAAAGCGUCUGCUAAAUGGCAUAUAUUAUUAUUAUUAU